CGUUUCCCACCGCUCCAAAGUCACCAGAGACCCCAAUUCACUAAUAGAAUAUGCUAAACUAGGCUCUCGGUCCACAGUACAAUUCCUCAUCCAUAAAGUCACAGAAGAUUUUCUCCUUUCCUUCAAGUUAAUGAAUUUAAUUUGCUUUAAGAUACAUUGUAGAUUAAGUAAAUACAGAUUGAACAACAGAAUGGUACAAAAAGUUAAAUUUCCCCUCAAAAUCAGCAACCGAUAAGAAAGCAACUCCUCUAAUUUCAAAUUUCCCUACUGGGAAUAUAAACAUGAACAGGCUAAUUUCAAAUUUCUCUACUGGGAAUAUAAACAUGAACAGGCUAAUUUCAAAUUUCUCUACUGGGAAUAUAAACAUGAACAGGCUAAUUUCAAAUUUCU
rnacentral:misc_RNA from 1 species